CUUUGUUAAGCUCUAACGUCUUUCUUUGAAGCUGGUGUCAUGUUCCCUGGAUUUAAACCGAAGAGAACCUCCUAGAGACUUCAGUAGGCUUUUUCAGAUGUAUUGACCAGAUGUCCUGGAAGUGGCCCCUGAUGCAGACCCAGUUGUUGGGUAGCCACCCAUGCACGUUGACACAGCCCCAGCAGUGGGCACCCAUGGGGAUGGACCCAGGAGUGGAGGAUGACCCAAUAGGUGGUGGGUAGCCACCCAUGCACGUUGACACAGCCAGCAGCGAGUACCCAGAGCGAUGGACCCAGAAGUGGAGGAUAAUCCAAUAGGAGUGCUGGAUCGAUAGGGGGCCAAUCAUCUCGAAUUGAGACCCUUAUAUAGACUCUGGGCGGCUCCGACUCACUCUCUCUCUCUCUUGAAUCUGGCUUCUUCAGACCACAGCCCUGACGGCCACACUGAGAAUGCAGACGAUGGUGGUGGAAUUAAUAACCUGGAUCAGGAGUCCUCUGACAGCAGAUCUGAAUGGGCACCUGAUGGUGAAGACAUUACAUGUGAGGAAAAGACACAUACUAGAGGGAGUCGAGGACUUGGCUGUUCUACAAAAUGUCACUAAGGGAUGCAACUGACAGCUGAAGUAGGAUCUUUUUUGUUUUUUGGCCAUGACAAUGCUUUGACAGUUGAUAAUAAACUGAUAAUUACGAUACUAUGUGCACACCAUUGUUUUUAUGGGGUUUUUUUAAAUAAUAAAAUGGAUGUACUCAUCGAAACCACUUGGUGAUGUUGUUUUAUUGAUUGUUAACCACAUUAUACUUGUAAUAGAUAUGAUUGCAAAGUUGAUUAGAGCUUUGGCCUCAAUUGCUAUGUGGAAAAUAUUGCUCCAUGUCUCCAUUACAGAGAAAUCUGAUUAUUUUGCAGGAUUAACUGAGGCAAAAAUGUCCAAUAAAAUUGUGGCGACAAUAUUACACAUGAUAUAAUGGAGAGAAUCCUUCUAAUUGAAAUGAGGAAAGUUCCUUGAUUUAUUUGUAAUUUGACAUAUUUUAUUCAUGCAAAAAUGUCCAAUAAAAUUGAGGCGACAAUAUUACACGUGAUAUAAUGGAGGGAAUCCUUCCAAUUGAAAUGAGGAAAGUUCCUUGAUUUAUUUGAAAUUUGUCAUAAUUUAUCCAU